GAUGAACGCUGGCGGCGUGCCUAAUACAUGCAAGUCGAGCGAACAGACGAGGAGCUUGCUCCUCUGACGUUAGCGGCGGACGGGUGUGUAACACGUGGAUAACACACCUACAAGACUGGGAUAACUUCGGGAAACCGGAGCUCAUACCGUAUAAUAGAUUGCACCUUAUGGUUCAAUGGUGAAAGACGGAUUUGCUGUUACUUUUAGAUGGAUCCGCGCCGCAUUAGCUAGUUGGUAAGGUAACGGCCUACCAAGGCAACGAUGGGUAGCCGACGUGAGUGGGUGGUCGGCCCCACUGGAACGGAGACACGCUCCAGACUCCUACGGGAGGCAGCAGUAGGGAAUGUACCGCGAUGGGCGAAAGCCUGACGGAGCAACGCCGCGUGAGUGAUGGAGGUCUUCGGAUCGUAAUACACUGUUAUUAGGGAAGAACAAAUGUGUAAGUAACUAUGCACGUCUUGACGGUACCUAAUCAGAAGGCCAGGGCUAACUCCGGG
rnacentral:rRNA from 1 species